GCUUCUCGGUAGCCUGAUCCCGCCUCCUCCUCAUGACCCGCAGGGACUCCUGCUCGAUCCGUAUCAGUUACACUCUGCCUCUCAUUUCAGUCAAAGUGUCAACAAUCUGGAAUACUCCCCCAUCCUGCUCACGAUAUUUUUAGAACAAACAAACAACUGACAUAUUUAGCUGAAAUAAAUCACCCCAAGAAACCUCAGUUUGGCUCAUUUUUCGCUCCCACUUCAGCUAUUAAUCGCAACUCCGAUUAGCUUCCUGGAACCAGCACCUAAGCCGGAAAUGACCGGGACAGGCUGACCUGAGAACAUGUGUGGAAUCACACUGUCCGGACUCGGGAGACCUCCUCCCAUGCCUGAGUGUGACGUUUUCAGGAAGGGAGCCCUUUCAUUCGGUGCUAUCCACAAAGCAGCAGUCGGACGGUUUCCUGAGCACGGUCUGACCGGGUGGAACCAGGGGCUGACGGGGUGCAGGGCAGCAGAAGGCCGAGAACCUGCCCCCCGCUCUGGUGAGCGAUUCGGUGAGCAAGUGCCUUGGGCCCGGUGAGCCCUCUGCUAUAUAAACGUGUAAACAGGAAAAAUUUGAAAAAAAGUUCUCCAUUUAACUACCCCGGCUCUAAAAAGAAAUAAUCUAUUCUGUCUGAACCACAAAGCCAUUGGUCGUCUCUAAAAUCGUGAGGGGGCAAACCAAGAGCAGAUCUACUGACAGGCCGCUCCCCAAAUGCCAUCUCUGCAGGAUUUAUUUCUGACUCAGCUGCCACGGCCUGGAUCUCCCCACAUUCCCAUGUCUGAGGAUGGGAGCUCAAGAAGAAAAGAUGCACUGGGGGCCCUUUUCAGGGAUGAAGGCAGAUGCCAAAGAGUGGGGAUCCUACAGUCACCUAGACCUAGAAGGAAGAGGGCUCAGCCCGAUGAGACACGGACUCUAAGGAAGCCAUGAAGUUCUGUCAUUUAGAAAUGGCAGCCUCCACCCAAAGUCAAGAAGAGCGCCAGAAAGGAAGAGGGCAGCAGGGUGCUGCGAAGCUGGCCAGCUCUGCGGGACCAGAGGUGGAUCAGGCAUCCCGCUGGGAUCACAGGCCGAAUGGAGCCAUGGGUCCUUGCACAGAACCUGCUCCCAUGAAUCCUGGCCUGUUUUAUCUGCGUUCUCUCUUUACCUUCCCUGUGUUCUCACGUAGCACAUCAUGAGGUUUGGUACACAUUUGGCAGAGAGCGGGCUCUCUCACCCUUAACUGGAGGGAUGUUUAAAGGAGAGCAAGUCUGACCAUCUGCAGGUGGGUGAUGCAUUCCCCACCAGCUGUUUUCGGCUCAGGAUCCCACAAGAAUGCUUAGGAGAUAAAUUUGAAGAUUCUUUUCUUGCUCUCCUUUAGCUCUCAGGUGUUUUUGUUUUGUUUGUCAUUAACUUAAAAUGCAAAGACCACUACAAAUGAACUGGCACUCAACUGUACUUGUACUAUAUGAAGCUUUUUCACAGUUGGCUGGGUAAUUAGCAGGAGCUGUAUAUGACCCGGAAAUAAGUAGACAUCAUCAUUUUAUCACUUAGCGGAACUUGGCAGAGUGAAAGCGGAAACAGACACUAGACGAAACACAGGAACGGCCACACUAUUUUCCAAAGCAGCUGCACCAUUAGACAUUCCCACCAGCAGAGCACAAGGGUUCCGGCUUCGCCACAUCCUCUCCAGCACCUGUUAGUAUCUGUUUGUUUUUUGUUUUGUUUUUUUAAAAAUAAUAGUCAUCCUAAUGGUAUCUCAUUGUGGGUUUUUUUUUUGUUUUGUUUUGUUUUUUGUGGUACGCGGGCCUCUCACUGCCGUGGCCUCUCCCGUUGCAGAGCACAGGCUCCGGACGCGCAGGCUCAGCGGCCAUGGCUCACGGGCCCAGCCGCUCUGCGGCACGUGGGAUCUUCCCGGACCGGGGCACGAACCCGUGUGCCCUGCACACGGGGCGGACUCUCAACCACUGCGCCACCAGGGAAGCCCUUAUUGUGGUUUUGAUUUGCAUUUCCCUAAUGAUUGGUGAUGCUAAGAAUAUUUUCAUGUGCUUACUGGCCAUUUGAAUAUCUACUUUGUAGAAAUGUCUAUUUAAGUCCUUUGUCCACUUUUUAUUCAAGUUCUUUUGCUGUUGUUGUUGUUGUGGAAAGUUGAUUUUAAAUAAGCUACUGCACCACUGAAUCCACUCCACUUUGGUCUGUGGUGUCGUUUAGGCUGUCACCCAGGCUGUCACCCACUCUCCUUUGCCCAAAGAUCCCCUCCCCAGCUUGUAUCUGAGGAACAGGCAUCCCUGGCUUGGUUACCUUGCACUCAUCCCUCCCAGACAUCCUUCAGGUUUCCAAUGGAUCAUUUCUCUAGUUUAAUAAGAUGAACAGCCUCUUUCCUUGUGGUCCAACUUUCUAUCAAAUACAAAUUUAAUAGGCAUGUUCAUUACUCCAUCACUCAGCUCAGACAUAAAAAUAGCCCAUAACACCUGGCCUCUCAGUAAUCACUACAUCAAAACAUUACUCAGUAUGAUAUUUCAACUUAAACUGAGUUUCUCUGAGACUAUGCGUGUUAAGUGACACAGACUGAGAAAAAGGCACAAUCUUACUUGCCAAGUAAUGUUUUUUUUAAACCAGGUAUAUAUACUCCACUCAAGAAAAGAAUGAUCCUCAUCAAGUUUUCUGGUUUAUUGAAGAGAUUAACAGAGGAUAUAGGAUAAAAAUCCUGUUCAUCUGGAUUGUUAGCUUGAAGAGAGCAUAAACUGCCUUUCUCUUGUCCAUGGCGGCAUGCCCAGCACCUCACAUGGCAACUGGAAUGUGGGAAGAACGCAAUGCUUCGAGGGCACAGAGGCCAAGGUCAGGCUGCCUGGGUUCAAAGUAUGACUCUGCCACUUACUAGUUAGUUCCUGUUGAUGUAAAAAGCAGCACGAUUGUCUGAAAAAAUCUGUUUCCACGGGUACGAGAAUAGAAGACCACAUACAGAAGAAGAGAUUGUUUUCCAAUCUGGUGACUUGAGGAUUUGUUUCAACAACAUCUGAUAUAUCAAAGUCAUGGAUCAGAAAACACCAUAAUGAUCCCACUUGUAUUUUUAUCUUUGAGAGGUUUCAAAAUUUACUUUUUGUGCUUUGUGGUAACAUUUGAUGGUUUCUUAAGUGUGUUGUUGAUUUGAUGACCUCUCUGAGAGCUGGAGAAUAAGUGCCUGUAUGUGUUCUACUUAAGUAGGAAAGAGUAAAGUUCAAAUCAACUAAAAAUCUGUAAUUAGGAAAGUUGUACAACCACAAUUUGUCUCAGGGCAAGAAACUACAUCCUGGUGUGGCUGCCCUUAGCAGCCAUUGGAAGGCUUGCUGAAUUAGAAUAAAAUAUCUCAGUUAUACUAAAGUUCUCAAAUGUGCCACCAUUGGUAUGAUACUAUCUGGUAUAUUUUCCAGAGACAAAAGUAACAAACUGUCAGUUCUCAUUGCGAUAUUUUAUCUAAAAAUGAAUAAUCCCAUGGCAGAAACACGAAGUCUGUGAGGGCCUGACCAAGCCCUGGCCACACUGUCUUUAGAAGAAACAAUUGUUCCCAACAUCACCUGGCAUCUACUUCUACAUUCUUGGGCCAGUGAGGAAAAUUACUAAGUAAAAUACAUUAAUCAAUUAGGAAAUUUUUGCAAAGCUCUGUUUUAAAAGAAGAACAAUCGAGGCUCUUAUACCAAGUACAGGAGAUAGCGAAUCUAUCAGAAUCUGUGAACACUGUUCAAUAUAAAAAUGUGUACUUUGUUCAAUUUUAUUUUGGAAAAAACUUACAGUGUGUUAGAGACAUUUAACACAUAAUCAGCAAAUGCUAAUUUUUCAUCCUUUUGUUUAGGCAUUUAAUAGUUAAAGGGUUUAAAAAAACAAGUUUUCAACAGAAGUUAAAGGCAGUAUUAGAGGAACAAAAAAAGACAAGACACAUACAGAAAUGGCAGACAUACAUUCAACCAUCAUUAAUUAUAUGAAAUGUGAAUGGACCAGACACUUGACACAAAAGGCAGAACUUAUCAGACUAAACAAAAAAAGCAAGAUCCAAUGAUAUGCCAGCUAUAGAAGACAUACCGGAAGAAAUAAUGGCUGAGAAUUUUCUAGAAAUGAUAAACAAUACAAACAAGACCAAUCCACAGUUUUAAAAAGUCUCGAGCAGGAUCUACUCUUAGCUGUAUCACAGUGAAAAUGCCAAGCAUCAGAAAGAAUGGCAAUGAAAGCAGCCAGAGAGAAAAGACAGAUGACAUUAAAAUGAACUAAAAUUAAACCAACGGUUGACUUCUCAACAAUGACAAAAGGAGCAAGAUCACUGUGCUGUGAGGAAAUGUGAGCCUAGAAUCAUAGAUCUAGUUUGAAAAUCUCUUUUGAGAGAAAGGACAAAUACAAUUUUAGACACAGGUUGAGAAAGUUUGCCAACAACAGACCCUCACUCAAAUUUCUAGGGUAAUCACUAAACAACAACAACCAAAAUAGAAUGUUUCUUUUCCAAAUUAGUAAAGGAAAAAUAUGUAAUAAAAACAUAAUUAUUUAAAAGAAGGUAGGAAAGGAG